CAAGAGUCACAGGCACUUCAUCACUGAUUUUUUCAGGGAUGUAUAUUUCUCCCCUCUCCAUUUGUAGAUGAGCAAGGGCAGUAUCAUGCUCAAGGACCUGGGAAUUAGAUGAGCAGUGACCCAGACCAUUUAACAGCCCUAUAAGCUGUGCAGAGCCAGUCAUAUGCCGAACUGCCAUUGCAAGUGAGCACUGUUUAGGCAUGAGCCACCUUCCUCUGGUUGCCAGGGUAAUAAUGUCCUGACAAGUGGACACUAUCUUUCUGUUGUCCCCUGAAGUGACAUCAACACGUUCAUCUGACGGUUGUGAUGACAUUCCUGAUAUCCAUGCAAUGAAGUUAAAAAGUUGGUGAGGCACUACACUCAUGCCAUUUUCCAGUGUGAGAUCACUUGCUGUUGGAGGGCAUGGUAGCUUUGGGUAUAUUUUUGAUGUAUUUUGAAUUAUUUCUUUAAGUCUCAUUGCUGCGUGAUAUAACUCCCGAGAAUCAUCCGUGGUGUUGGUGGCGUUUUCUAUAUUUCCUUGACUUGUCAUUUCUCCUUCACUUUCUUCAGAUGAGGAGGAAGCAGAGGAGAAGGCAACUUCAUGCACAAUCUCGUCAGCUGACAGAUUGUCCACAUAUACAAGAUUUUUUGAAAAGCAAAUUCAGCUUUGACAGUCGAAGUACUUCGCGUUGUUUUAACAGCUUCUCCUCAAUGACUGUUUUGCAGAAGUGCUUGUAUCCAUUUUCAUAUAUGUUUGUUUCUGUUCUCUCAAUUUUGUGUGUGGUCAGAUACCGGGUAUAAUCUCGAUAGCAAGUGAAGUGAUACCGUGCUUCACUAGCCACCAAGUCCCUGUCUUGGAUCUGGAGAAGGAGAGACUCGUCCCUUUUCUCUUCAGCGGCGAGUAGCAAUUUCCCGGCAUGGAGUGUUUCACACUGUUAGCUUUUCUUUUACCCUUUUCCUGCUGUGUGACUGAACCUUGUACUUCUCAUGUUUGCAUAUAAUGCAUUGUACUGGAAGCAGGUGUGGGGCCCGCUUGGACGUGCAGGAAUCACAGGCGUAAGAUCUCAGAGCCCGUGUUUUAACUGGAGUUGCCUCCCCAUCCUCUGCCUCUACCACUAAAAGUGCAAAACAAUUGAUUUAGGUUCUGCACCCUUCCCCACAUCACCUAUUAAAGAAAAAUGGUUUGUAACUUUCAGCAGGGUAUAUUGGUUCCACCUGUUCCCUUAACACGGGUAAUAAACCUGUUUCACAGCUUUCAGGUGUCCGUCCUUGAUGUUAAUGAGGCCAUAAUAGGAAGGGUUAAUUUUUGCAGGGUGUUUUUUAUUUAUUUUUAUUAUAUUAGUGAUUAAAUAAAAAUAAAAAUGGCAUCAUUACUCCAUUCUUCAGUGUCACAUGUGACAUCCAGUCUAUCACAUGAUCAUUUAGAAAUGAUUCUAAUAUUCUGAUUUUUUUUUUAGUGUUGCAAACAGUUCUGC
rnacentral:lncRNA from 1 species